GGGACGAACGCUGGCGGCGUGCUUAACACAUGCAAGUCGAGCGGAAAGGCCCUUCGGGGUACUCGAGCGGCGAACGAGUGAGUAACACGUGAGUAAUCUGCCCCUAGCUCUGGGAUAGCUCCGGGAAACCGGGAUUAAUACCGGAUACGACCACCUUAGACAUCUUUUGUGGUGGAAAGAAUUUCGGCUAGGGAUGAGCUCGCGGCCUAUCAGCUUGUUGGUGGGGUAACGGCCUACCAAGGCGACGACGGGUA
rnacentral:rRNA from 1 species